ACAUAGCGAGAUUCCUGAAGUGUUCUGAGAGGACCACGAUCAAGCGGGAUCAACCACUGUCCAGAUCUCUCGGAGGCGAGCAGUGUGAAUAUUGCACAAUGCGUCAAAGCUCUACGAGCCCUGUCCGGGUGUGAUGAAAGUCUCUUGAGUCUUAAAGAUCUCAGAUAGGAAGGAAGCAGUAAGCUAAUCACUUUUAUUUUGACGUUACCGAGAAGAAGAGCACCGGUCUAAUUUCGUCCCAGCAGCUAGGGUAAUACGGAGGGGGCAAGCGUUAAUUGGAAUUCCUGGGGGUAAGGCGCGGCAGGGGGUUUUUAAGUCAGAUGUAAAACCCCGGGCUCAACCUGGGAAUGGCUCUAAAACUGGCAAGCUAGAGUCUGGUAGGGGGGGGGUAGAACUCCUGGGGUGGCGGUGAAAUGCGUAAAAUUCUGGAGAAAUACCGGUGGCGAAGGCGGCCCCCUUGGACGAUGACUGACGCUCAGUGGGGAAAGCUGGGGGACCAAACCAGGAUAAAAUACCCUGGUAGUCCCCCCCCGUAAAGAAGUUCACCUUGGAGGUGGAUCCUUUGAGGCGUGGCUUCCGGAGCUAACGCAUUAAGUCGCCCCCCUGGGAAGUACGCCCGCAAGGUUAAAACUCAAAUGAAUUGACGGGGCCCCGCACAAGCGGUGGAGCAUGUGGUUUAAUCCGAUGCAAGCCGAAGACCCUUACCUACUCUUGACAUCCAGAGAAUUUUCCAGAGAUGCUUUGGUCCCUUCGGGAAUCCUGAGACAGGUGCUGCAUGGCGGUCGUCAGUUCGUUUUGUGAAAUGUUGGGUUAAUUCCCGCAACGAGCGCACCCCUUUUCCUUUUUUGCCAGCGGUUCGGCCGGGAACUCAAAGGAGACUGCCAGUGAUAAACCGGAGGAAGGUGGGGAUGACGUCAAGUCAUCAUGGCCCUUACGACUAGGGCUACACACGUGCUACAAUGGCGUAUACAAAGAGAAGCCACCUCGCGAGAGCAAGCGGACCUCAUAAAGUACGUCGUAGUCCGGAUUGGAGUCUGCAACUCGACUCCAUGAAGUCGGAAUCGCUAGUAAUCCGUAGAUCAGAAUGUCUACGGUGAAUACGUUCCCGGGCCUUGUACACACCGCCCGUCAACACCCAAUUGGGAAGGUGGGUUGCAACACAAGAAGUAGUUAGUCUUAACCUCCGGAGAGCUGCCUACUCCACGAGGUUGAUCCAACACCCGGC
rnacentral:rRNA from 1 species